UNGGAAGGCCUUGGUAUCUGCCGCCUGA
rnacentral:piRNA from 1 species